GACAGAAACACCUGUGGAUGUUUGCAGAUCUGAAGCAGCUUGAUUUUCUCCUCUCUCUCAAAGAUGAAAGCCUUAAGUGCUGUUUAUCUGACGGGGGCAGUUUUUGUGUCUACCGGGGCUUCCAGAUUUCUGUCUGAGCAUGUGGGAAAACAGGUGGUGCUGUGAGAUGCAGCAACACUUUUGGAGUGUCGCCGAAACCAAACACAUGCUUGACGAAAUGAAGGAUAUUCUUGAUCUUCUAGAUGAUAUAUGUUCGUAUUUUCAGGAAAAGUGGCUCAGGGUGUCGGCGCUUAAACAGAAUCAUUAUCCACCUCCAAACCUCCUGACACACACACACACACACACACACACACACACACAGUGAGCUGAGGACGGAGGUGUUGACAGCCGACAGGAAACACUGUAA